rnacentral:rRNA from 1 species
UACGUAGGGGGCAAGCGUUGUUCGGAUUUAUUGGGCGUAAAGAGCGUGUAGGCGGUCAGGUAGGUCCGUUGUGAAAACUCGAGGCUCAACCUCGAGACGCCGAUGGAAACCAUCUGACUAGAGUCCGGAAGAGGAGAGUGGAAUUCCUGGUGUAGCGGUGAAAUGCGCAGAUAUCCGGAGGAACACCGACGGCGUAGGCAGCGCCCUGGCUGUGAAUAAAGCUGACACUGAGGCACGAAAGCUGGGGGAGCAAACAGG